UAUGGGCCACAGCCAGGACGAGGAGCAGCACAGCAGCCUCGCCAUGGAGCAACGUGACCACACCUAGGAGACUGUAUUUGUCCUGAACCUUGUCCCUUGUCCGUCUCUCUCUUCUUCUUCUUGUUCUACCUCUACCACUGUUGCAGCAAUGAAGAAGAGGAAGAGAGGAAAUGACUCCCAGUUAAAAAAGGAGGGGCUUAAGAAGAAAAAGGGUUGUCGAAAAUGUAGUAGACAGAAAAUAUUCCAGUUUGGCUCAAUUUCUGGGAGAAGGAUACAUGAGUGGCAAAACCUGGGAUGACACAUGGGAGCCUGCAAACACAUUUGCACAACAACACCACACUGCCACCCCUGAGUCUCCUCCUCCUUCUGGUUCAGUUAGCUGAACCUAACUGGUUGGGCUCUACUCACAGCAGGGGAAAAGAGACAAUCGACAGAAAUGACUGACACUGAGCUCAAAUCAAAUACUGUGCUGCAACACGUGUCUUUUGUGUUUAUUGAAGGAAUGUGUUCAUGGA